rnacentral:rRNA from 1 species
GAUGAACGCUAGCUACAGGCUUAACACAUGCAAGUCGAGGGACCGGCGCACGGGUGAGUAACACGUAUCCAACCUGCCCUUUACUCGGGGAUAGCCUUUCGAAAGAAAGAUUAAUACCCGAUAUAAAGGAUGGGGAUGCGUUCCUUUAGGUUGUUGGUGAGGUAACGGCCCACCAAGCUUUCUAAGGAUUGGGGUUCUGAGAGGAAGGGCCCCCAGAUAGGAACUGAGACACAGGCCAAACUGGUACGGGAGGCAGCAGUGAGGAAUAUGAGUCAAUGGGCGUUAGCCUGAACCAGCCAAGUAGCGUAAAGGAUGAAGGCUUAGGGGUGGUAAACUUCAUUUAUAUAAGAAUAUGUAUUAUAUGAAUAAGGAUCGGCUAACUCCGUGCCAGCAGCCGCGGUAAUAC